rnacentral:tRNA from 1 species
AAGGGUAUAGCUCAAGUGGUAGAGCACAUGCUUAACAUGCAUGAGGUCCUGGGUUCAAUCCCCCGGCCCUCC